UUUUCUGGGAUCGCUAAUUAUUGUCGUUUGACUGUAUUUUAUUUUCAAAAAAUCAUUUCAUAUUCGACGUGCGAUCAGUGUAAUGUUUAUUUCCGUACUCCUCCAGGUAUUCUCGAGACUCGCGUGGGCCAUACGUGAGGAACUCGCGAGUAGCAGAAAACCUCCCAACCUGCUUUGCAAAUACAGUUCCGCCAUGUUGUGAACAAGGCCAAUAAGCCAACUAAAUGUGCUUUUCGUCUCAUUCUUCCUUUGUAGGGAGAACUUUCAAUUUACCAUUCAAUAUAAAUUUAUUCCCAGGUGAAGCAUGAUGCCGAUUGUUUCAAAAAGUGUUCGACUCCCGUAGCAAACUACAGCAAACUAAUAAAAAAAGUUGGCGCGUGAUUCAAAUGAGUUCAAAAAUCAUCCAGAAUGAGAUGGAUGUAUUUCAUUUCAGUUCCCAUCACCAUAAUGAUGAUUGCUGUUAAGCUUACAAUGAAGAAUUCAGUGAGAACACUUGCCCAGGUGGAUACAAAUAGGGACAAAACAAGAAGAGGAUAAACUCAUAAGUGAUGAUUUUAUUGCAAUCCAGAACGUAGGUAGGACGCUUUUUCAGUCUCGAAGAGUAGCUGAGGCCUGGAUGGACUGUUAAUAACCUGAAGAUGAAUUAAUCAUACACUAUGGAUGAUGUCUGAGAGGGACUAGCCAAUAGGUUUUAUAUUUCUACCGAAUAGUGUAUGUACCAGUGACAGGUUAGAUAUCUCUUACUUCUAAGAAAGAGUUUUUGGAAUCGGACUGUGUUGGAAAGAGUAUUUCAAAGGAGUCAUGACGCGAUAGUCAAAUUGUCUACCAGAAGGCAACUUGAACACGUCGGUUUAUAAUCACCAUUUAGGAAUCAGGAUGGUUAGGACUGGGAAAGAUUACGGCCGAUAAUAUUUCGAAUGUCUCACCGUCACGCAACGCUACGCCCUCGUGAGAAAGGGCCCUCUCUGCCGAGAGCGAAGCGUUGCGUGACAGAGAAGUGCCCAGAAAGGGGGUUUUCACUGGCUCUGUGUGAUGAAUUAAUAGGGAGUUUAAGAAAACCACGACGGCAACGGCAACGGCAACCUCACUGAACAAAAGGUUC